rnacentral:lncRNA from 1 species
AAAGAGAAAACUCAUAAAGGAUUGAAACCACUUAAGGGUCAUCUAUAAGAUUGUGAGCUCCAAGUCAAAAUUAACAUUUGGAAGAUGAUGCGAAUCAUCCCGUCCUCCACAAGACACAGCUGCAAUUGGUCAUUUAUUCACAUGGAAUUAAGCAUUUAUACCAUGGGUUUGCCUGAACACCUGCAUACAUGAGAAAAUGUAAUGGAGUGCUGCAGUAACAGUGCAGGGAGCAAACCCAAAAAGCCAGGAUGUUGAAACGUUCUGUGUGCAUAUUCAAUAACUUUUCUAUGCCCCAAGGUAGAAAAUGUCUUUUACACACGCCUACACAGUCAGCAUACAGGUAAGUAGGAUUUCAACUCCGGAAUGGUGCAUAGUGGGCUAUACAGCCUAGAGGGAUGAACAACUCAGUGUAAAUAUGGUCUGGAUUCACAUUAAUGUCACAGAAACUGCUACAAUACACGUAUGAUCUACUCUAGUCCACACAAAUUACAAUUAUAUACAAACGUCAGCACAGACCUCAAAGCUUAUUUGAACCUAUUUGGAGUUCUGAAUGCUUUAUUUUAAGGUGGAGACACAGAUACAGAAGUAUUACUGUAGACUGUUGCUGCCAAGAUGCACUUUUGCUGGCAAACCCUGUGAUAUAAACAAA